ACUUAGACCAGUGGGGUUGGUUGGUUGUAUGGCUAAGUAACGAUAGGGAUUGGUUCAUAAAUUCACUAUCGGAUACGAGUCGUUGAACGAAUGGAGUAAGGCGACAAACGGGCUAAGGAAUCAAAUCCGCAUAUUGGCCAAGGUAUGUAACGAUCUAGCUUAUUAGUUAAGAUAGUCGUUUGGUAAUU
rnacentral:sRNA from 1 species